CCCGGCUAACUACGUGCCAGCAGCCGCGGUAAUACGUAGGGGGCGAGCGUUGUCCGGAUGACUGGGCGUAAAGGGCGUGUAGGCGGCUAUUUAAGUCUGGAGUGAAAGUCCUGCUUUAAGGUGGGAAUUGCUUUGGAGACUGGAUGGCUUGAGUGCGGAAGAGGUAAGUGGAAUUCCAGUGUAGCGGUGAAAUGCGUAGAGAUUGGGAGGAACACCAGUGGCGAAGGCGACUUACUGGCCGUAACUGACGCUGAGGCGCGAAAGCGUGGGGAGCGAACAGGAUUAGAUACCCUGGUAUCCACGCGGUAAACGAUGAAUGCUAGGUGUUGCGGGUAUCGACCCCUGCAGUGCCGGAGUAACACAAUAAGCAUUCCGCCUGGGGAGUACGGCCGCAAGGUUGAAACUCAAAGGAAUUGAGGGGGCCCGCACAAGCAGCGGAGCAUGUUGUUUAAUUCGAAGCAACGCGAAGAACCUUACAGGUCUUGACAUCGAUGUAAACCUGUAGAGAUACAGGGUGCCUUCGGGCAACAGAAGACAGUGGUGCAUGGUUGUCGUCAGCUCGUGUCGUGAGAUGUUGGGUUAAGUCCCGCAACGAGCCAACCCUUAUGGUCAGUUACUAACACGUAGCGGUGAGGACUCUGACAAGACUGCCGGGGAAACUCGGAGGAAGGUGGGGACGACGUCAAAUCAUCAUGCCCCUUAUGACCUGGGCUACAACGUGCUACAAUGGUGACUACAAAGAGAAGCGAGACCGUAAGGUGGAGCGGAUCUCAAAAAGUCAUCUCAGUUCGGAUUGUGGGCUGCAACCCGCCCACAUGAAGUUGGAGUUGCUAGUAACGCGGAUCAGCAUGCCGCGGUGAAUACGUUCCCGGGCCUUGCACUCACCGCCCGUAAGGG
rnacentral:rRNA from 1 species